CCUUUUGAUGGUCCUAAUUCUCAAAGGUAACCUUAAGGGGAGUGUAUUUUGCUGUUGGUUCUGUGGAUGACAGGUGACAAAACAGGCUGGCCACUGCCCCAACCCAGGCAUUUCACUGGGCGCAGUGCGGACAGGCUUCCGCUUUGGUCAUGGGGACAAGGUCCGCUAUCGCUGCUCCUCGAAUCUUGUGCUCACGGGGUCUUCGGAGCGGGAGUGCCAGGGCAACGGGGUCUGGAGUGGAACGGAGCCCAUCUGCCGCCAACCCUACUCUUAUGACUUCCCUGAGGACGUGGCCCCUGCCCUGGGCACUUCCUUCUCCCACAUGCUUGGGGCCACCAAUCCCACCCAGAAGACAAAGGAAAGCCUGGGCCGUAAAAUCCAAAUCCAGCGCUCUGGUCAUCUGAACCUCUACCUGCUCCUGGACUGUUCGCAGAGUGUGUCGGAAAAUGACUUUCUCAUCUUCAAGGAGAGCGCCUCCCUCAUGGUGGACAGGAUCUUCAGCUUUGAGAUCAAUGUGAGCGUUGCCAUUAUCACCUUUGCCUCAGAGCCCAAAGUCCUCAUGUCUGUCCUGAACGACAACUCCCGGGAUAUGACUGAGGUGAUCAGCAGCCUGGAAAAUGCCAACUAUAAAGAUCAUGAAAAUGGAACUGGGACUAACACCUAUGCAGCCUUAAACAGUGUCUAUCUCAUGAUGAACAACCAAAUGCGACUCCUCGGCAUGGAAACGAUGGCCUGGCAGGAAAUCCGACAUGCCAUCAUCCUUCUGACAGAUG
rnacentral:misc_RNA from 1 species